rnacentral:rRNA from 1 species
CACGUAGGGUGCGAGCGUUGUCCGGAAUUAUUGGGCGUAAAGAGCUCGUAGGCGGUGUGUCGCGUCGGCCGUGAAAACCUGCAGCUUAACUGUGGGCUUGCGGUCGAUACGGGCAUCGCUGGAGUUCGGCAGGGGAGACUGGAAUUCCUGGUGUAGCGGUGAAAUGCGCAGAUAUCAGGAGGAACACCGAUGGCGAAGGCAGGUCUCUGGGCCACUACUGACGCUGAGAAGCGAAAGCAUGGGGAGCGAACAGG